rnacentral:rRNA from 1 species
CACACUGGACUGAGACACGGUCCAGACUCCUACGGGAGGCAGCAGUGGGGAAUAUUGCACAAUGGGCGCAAGCCUGAUGCAGCCAUGCCGCGUGUGUGAAGAAGGCCUUCGGGUUGUAAAGCACUUUCAGUCGUGAGGAAGGUAGUGUAGUUAAUAGCUGCAUUAUUUGACGUUAGCGACAGAAGAAGCACCGGCUAACUCCGUGCCAGCAGCCGCGGUAAUACGGAGGGUGCGAGCGUUAAUCGGAAUUACUGGGCGUAAAGCGCAUGCAGGUGGUUUGUUAAGUCAGAUGUGAAAGCCCGGGGCUCAACCUCGGAAUAGCAUUUGAAACUGGCAGACUAGAGUACUGUAGAGGGGGGUAGAAUUUCAGGUGUAGCGGUGAAAUGCGUAGAGAUCUGAAGGAAUACCGGUGGCGAAGGCGGCCCCCUGGACAGAUACUGACACUCAGAUGCGAAAGCGUGGGGAGCAAACAGGAUUAGAUACCCUGGUAGUCCACGCCGUAAACGAUGUCUACUUGGAGGUUGUGGCCUUGAGCCGUGGCUUUCGGAGCUAACGCGUUAAGUAGACCGCCUGGGGAGUACGGUCGCAAGAUUAAAACUCAAAUGAAUUGACGGGGGCCCGCACAAGCGGUGGAGCAUGUGGUUUAAUUCGAUGCAACGCGAAGAACCUUACCUACUCUUGACAUCCAGAGAACUUUCCAGAGAUGGAUUGGUGCCUUCGGGAACUCUGAGACAGGUGCUGCAUGGCUGUCGUCAGCUCG